rnacentral:rRNA from 1 species
GAGUUUGAUCGUGGCUCAGGGUAAACGCUGGCGGCGUGCCUAAAACAUGCAAGUCGAACGGGCAGUCUUCGGAUUGUCAGUGGCAGACGGCUGAGUAACGCGUGGGUGACGUACCUAUCGGUGGGGAAUAACUGCCCGAAAGGGUGGCUAAUACCGCAUACGUCCACUGCUGCAUUGCAGUGGGGAAAACCUUGUAAAAGGUGCCGAUGGAGCGGCCCGCGUCCGAUUAGCUAGUUGGUGGGGUAACGGCCUACCAAGGCGACGAUCGGUAGCUGGUCUCAGAGGAUGAUCAGCCAGACUGGGACUGAGACACGGCCCAGACUCCUACGGGAGGCAGCAGUUAGGAAUUUUUGGGCAAUGGGCGCAAGCCUGACCCAGCAACGCCGCGUGGGUGACGAAGGCCUUC